UACGUAGGGGGCUAGCGUUGUCCGGAAUCAUUGGGCUUAAAGCGCGUGUAGGCGGUUCGGUAAGUCCGCUGUGAAAGUCGGGGGCUCAACCCUCGGAUGCCGGUGGAUACUGUCGGACUAGAGUACGGAAGAGGCGAGUGGAAUUCCUGGUGUAGCGGUGAAAUGCGCAGAUAUCAGGAGGAACACCAAUUGCGAAGGCAGCUCGCUGGGACGUUACUGACGCUGAGACGCGAAAGCGUGGGGAGCAAACAGG
rnacentral:rRNA from 1 species